CCUACGGGUGGCAGCAGUGAGGAAUAUUGGUCAAUGGGCGAGAGCCUGAACCAGCCAAGUCGCGUGAGGGAGUACUGCCCUAUGGGUUGUAAACCUCUUUUGUCGGGGAGCAAAAGCCGGACGUGUCCGGCUGUGAGAGUACCCGAAGAAAAAGCAUCGGCUAACUCCGUGCCAGCAGCCGCGGUAAUAUGGAGGAUGCGAGCGUUAUCCGGAUUUAUUGGGUUUAAAGGGUGCGCAGGCGGAUUUUUAAGUCAGCGGUAAAAUCGUGGGGCUCAACCCCAUCCAGCCGUUGAAACUGGGGAUCUAGAGUGUGCGAGAGGUAUGCGGAAUGCGUGGUGUAGCGGUGAAAUGCAUAGAUAUCACGCAGAACCCCGAUUGCGAAGGCAGCAUACCGGUGCACAACUGACGCUCAGGCACGAAAGCGUGGGUAUCGAACAGGAUUAGAUACCCUAGUAGUC
rnacentral:rRNA from 1 species